UUUUCUCCAGAAAAGGGAAACCGCCCACUUAGGGGAUGGAGGCCUCCAGGCGUUUGUCUUCUCAUCUAUAAAAGCAAGGGUCAUAAUGGUGCCUCCGUCAUGGGGUUCAGGAGCGAGUCCACCCGGCUUCCCUGAUGGCUCGGUGGUAAAGAAUCCGCCUACCAGUGCAGGAGACGCGGGCUCCAUCCCUGGUCCGGGAAGAUCCCACAGGCCGCAGAGCAGCAAAGCCGGUGAGCCACGACUACUGAGCCGGUGCUCUAGAGCCCAGGAGUCACAACUGCUGAAGCCUUCACGCCUAGAGCCUGUGCUCCGCAAAAGAGAAGCCACUGCAAUGUGAAGCAAUGAAGAGUCGCCCCUGACUGCCACAACUGAGCAACAAGAAAAACCACAGUCAAUAAAUAAAUAAACCUUUAAAAUAAAAUAAUAAAUCUGAUUCUU